GUUUUCUUCUAGGAUUUUUAUGGUUUUGAGUCUUACAUUUAAGUCUUUACUCCAUUUUGAAUUUAUUCUUGUGUAUUGGGUAAGUAGGUGGUCUAGUUUCGUUAUUUUGCAUGUAUCUAUCCCAUUUUCCCAACACCAUUUAUGGAAUACACUCGGUAAUGGAAAAC